rnacentral:rRNA from 1 species
UACGUCGGGUCCGAGCGUUGUCCGGAUUUAUUGGGCGUAAAGAGCUCGUAGGCGGUUCCGUAAGUCAGAUGUGAAAACUCAGGGCUCAACCCGGAGACGCCAUCUGAUACUGCGGUGACUGGAGUCUGGUAGGGGAACACGGAAUUCCUGGUGUAGCGGUGAAAUGCGCAGAUAUCAGGAGGAACACCGAUGGCGAAGGCAGUGUUCUGGGCCAGUACUGACGCUGAGGAGCGAAAGCGUGGGGAGCAAACAGG